GCUGGGUGGGGUGGCACAUGCCUGUAGUCCCAGCUACUCGGGAGGCUGAGGUGGGAGAAUCACUUGAGCCCAGGAGUUAUGGGCUGUAGUGCGCUAUGCCAAUCGAGUGUCCGCACUAGGUUCGGCAUCAAUAUGGUGACCUCCCAGGAGCAGGGGACCACCAGGUUGCCUAAGGAGGGAAAACUCCCAUGCUGAUCAGUAAAAAAUACUCCUGUCCGACUAGCAACAUUCACUUCUUACCAUACUGCUAAACACAUAUAUAUAACAA
ensembl:misc_RNA Metazoa_SRP Metazoan signal recognition particle RNA